CCUGGCUCAGGACGAACGCUGGCGGCGUGCCUAAUACAUGCAAGUCGAACGCUUCUUUCCUCCCGAGUGCUUGCACUCAAUUGGAAAGAGGAGUGGCGGACGGGUGAGUAACACGUGGGUAACCUACCCAUCAGAGGGGGAUAACACUUGGAAACAGGUGCUAAUACCGCAUAACAGUUUAUGCCGCAUGGCAUAAGAGUGAAAGGCGCUUUCGGGUGUCGCUGAUGGAUGGACCCGCGGUGCAUUAGCUAGUUGGUGAGGUAACGGCUCACCAAGGCCACGAUGCAUAGCCGACCUGAGAGGGUGAUCGGCCACACUGGGACUGAGACACGGCCCAGACUCCUACGGGAGGCAGCAGUAGGGAAUCUUCGGCAAUGGACGAAAGUCUGACCGAGCAACGCCGCGUGAGUGAAGAAGGUUUUCGGAUCGUAAAACUCUGUUGUUAGAGAAGAACAAGGACGUUAGUAACUGAACKCCCC
rnacentral:rRNA from 1 species